ensembl:lncRNA
CUGCUGUCCUUGUUUUCAGAGCUCGUAAUGUAAUGAUGCCCUUAAUCGUAAAUGGCCUUGCCUGUAAUAAGGUGAUUGAACAUUGUGCGUUUGUUCGUGAAGUUGCCGUCCGGCACAUUGUCUAGAAAAGUACUACGUGGCACUGUUGGACGAUCAGAUCUCACCACCAUUUGACUGAUGUUGGGGGCACGUCUGAAGACUUCCUCUCAACCAAAUAUUUCCCAAUUGUUCAUAUUGAAAUUACAUGGUGUGCCCACUCUCUCUCUCCCCCCUCUUUCAAUAUCUCCUCUCUCUUCCUCACCUCUCUCUCUUCUCUCUACCCCACCCUCUCUCCCUUCCCCAUCUCUCCCCACCCCUGUCUCUCUCCCCCUUUGAACCAAGGCUAUGAGAGAGAAUUUGGCAACAAGACCAACCUUGUGACUGCCAAUCCCAGCAUCCUUGUAGGUUCCUCUGUGUUGAGUGGUCUGAAACUUGGUCACCAUUCUGAUAGGUUUGCCUCACUGAUGGAUCUUCUGCUCCCUUUCAUGGAAUCUCUUAAACGUGUACGGCGAUGCUCCUCCUCCCCGCAUUCUCCUACCAGCGCAACAUGCCAUCUCUGUGCUUUCAGUUUACACUCUCCAGGAGAACCACGACCAAGUACGGCCUGUGUUCCUGAACCCGGAAUAACAUUUUGGGAUGCCAAGGGCCUGAAGGAGGUUUCCUUUCUCCCUCUGGCCCUGUCCCCAUCUCCAUCCGAAGGCACCUUGUGAGCUGGUCCCUAUCCUGUCAUGAGAUGAGGACCUGGUUCUCUAUAGCCUAGGUCCUGACCUGGCCUCACCAGCACCUUUUGCUUCCUGAUGAAGUUAUGUCUGAGUCAGAGCCAUAUGUGUCUCUAUAUUUGGCCUGGUAUGUGUUCAUACAAUUCCAGUUGUUGGCAUGUACUCUGCAUUGCAAAGGUAAGCAUCUCAGAGACCAGACGAUUAAACCAAUGUGUAUUGUUUGGUUUAUCCCUUUUGUAUUACAG